rnacentral:rRNA from 1 species
CCUACGGGUGGCAGCAGUGAGGAAUAUUGGUCAAUGGACGAGAGUCUGAACCAGCCAAGUAGCGUGAAGGAUGACUGCCCUAUGGGUUGUAAACUUCUUUUAUAUGGGAAUAAAAUGGUGCACGGGUGGGAUUUAGUAUGUACCCGAUGAAUAAGGAUCGGCUAACUCCGUGCCAGCAGCCGCGGGAAUACGGAGGCACCGAGCGUUGUCCGGAUUUAUUGGGUUUAACGGGAGCGUAGGUGGAGUGUUAAGUCAGUGGUGAAAGUUUGCGGCUCAACCGUAAAAUUGCAGUUGAAACUGGCAGUCUUGAGUACAGUAGAGGUGAGCGGAAUUCGUGGUGUAGCGGGGAAAUGCUUAGAUAUCACGAAGAACUCCGAUUGCGAAGGCAGCUCACUGGACUGCAACUGACACUGAGGCUCGAAAGUGUGGGUAUCAAACAGGAUUAGAUACCCCUGUAGUC